rnacentral:rRNA from 1 species
AGGGUGCAAAAUGCAUCANUAAGAGAUGGACNUGCGUUGUAUUAGNUAGUUGGUGAGGUAACGGCUCACCAAGGCGACGAUACAUAGCCGACCUGAGAGGGUGAUCGGCCACACUGGGAAUGAGACACGGCCCAGACUCCUACGGGAGGCAGCAGUAGGGAAUCUUNGGCAAUGGGGGCAACCNUGACCGAGCAACGCCGCGUGAGUGAAGAAGGUUUUCGGAUCGUAAAGCUAUGUUGUAAGAGAAGAACGAGUGUGAGAGUGGAAAGUUCACACUGUGACGGUAACUUACCAGAAAGGGACGGCUAACUACGUGCCAGCAGCCGCGGUAAUACGUAGGUCCCGAGCGUUAUCCGGAUUUAUUGGGCGUAAAGCGAGCGCAGGCGGUUAGAUAAGUNUGAAGUUAAAGGCUGUGGCUUAACCAUAGUACGCUUUGGAAACUGUUUAACUUGAGUGCAGAAGGGGAGAGUGGAAUUCCAUGUGUAGCGGUGAAAUGCGUAGAUAUAUGGAGGAACACCGGUGGCGAAAGCGGCUCUCUGGUCUGUAACUGACGCUGAGGCUCGAAAGCGUGGGGAGCAAACAGG